ACAAAUGCUAUGAACAGAACAAAACAUCAUAAACUUCAUGCAUUUCAGAGAGCCGUCGGCUGGUGCGAGACGGUAUGCAAUUUAUGUUGUUAUCCUCUGCGAGCAGUAUACCGAAAACUUUUAAAGCGAGUAAGUAUCACCGGUUUUCCCGUUAUCGAAAAUCUUAUUGCUGAUAGUGAUAUCAAAGAUAGGACUGAGCGGUCGCCGCAGGCGGCAAACAAAGUGGUAUCGCGGAAGUUUCAGACUUUCGUCUUUCGA
rnacentral:ncRNA from 1 species